GAGGAUUGGCUGAGCGGUUUAAAGCGGCGGUCUUGAAAACCGUUGAGGUGAAAGCCUCCGCAGGUUCGAAUCCUGUGUC
rnacentral:tRNA from 2 species